CCUCCAUUUCUUGGUGGAGACCAGGCACGCAGUCCUGUUCUCCAUUACCUACGGAGGCAGAAGGAAAUGCAGUCCUGUUCUCCAUUACCUACGGAGGCAGAAGGAAAGGGCUCAAGCCCUCUUGGCGUCAUGUCUUCAGUGCCAGUGACUUCUACUUGCCAGCUCUGUCCUCAAGCUCUGGGACCAUG
rnacentral:snoRNA from 1 species